UUUUAUGCUGUUCCCGUAACACCCAGCACCAGUCCCCAAGGAUGAGUGCUGAAGAUCCAUAGCCAUGGCAGGGCAGGGCCUAGGUACUGAAGGAAGAUCCCACUCAGAGUUCAGUUCCACCCACUGCAAAACGCCCUCCGAGGACCCUCACUAGACCAGUUCCUCCAAGUGCGGUCCGCAGGCUGCCAUCAGCGGGAUCACGGGCCUUGUAUGACCUCUGAAAAUAUGACCUGAAGCAGAUGGAUGCACUCACAUAAGAAACAUCACCUGUGGCCUUCAUCGAAAAUGGGCCUGCUGCUUGAAGAAGUUGGGCUCUUGGAGUUCUCUAGCACAGGGGCCAUGAAAAUCAAUGACUUCCUUGUUUGCUGACGGAGCAGAGGUAGAAUCUCUUGGUGUUUCCACGGAGAAAACACUGACCAUGAAGAGCCAAGAAAGAUGACAUGAUGAAGCCAUCAGGGGAAGCACCAAACAUCCUCAACUCUGCUCACCCAUGGUUUUCUCCCGCCCUCCCAGAGCUCCUCCUGCUGAUGGGCCCCCGACAUGAAACUGGCACUCAGAAUGAAGAAUGCCUUUUCCAGCCUCCCUCGCUG
ensembl:lncRNA LINC01588 long intergenic non-protein coding RNA 1588